GACGAACGCUGGCGGCGUGCUUAACACAUGCAAGUCGAACGGAAAGGCCCUGCUUGCAGGGUACUCGAGUGGCGAACGGGUGAGUAACACGUGGGUGAUCUGCCCUGCACUUCGGGAUAAGCCUGGGAAACUGGGUCUAAUACCGGAUAGGAGCCAUUUUUAGUGUGAUGGUUGGAAAGUUUUUUCGGUGUAGGAUGAGCUCGCGGCCUAUCAGCUUGUUGGUGUGGUAAUGGCCUACCAAGGCGGCGACGGGUAGCCGGCCUGAGAGGGUGGACGGCCACAUUGGGACUGAGGUACGGCCCAGGCUCCGACGGGAGGCAGCAGUGGGGAAUAUUGCACAAUGGGCGCAAGCCUGAUGCAGCGACGCCGCGUGGGGGAUGACGGCCUUCGGGUUGUAAACUACUUUCGCUAGGGACGAAGCAUUUUGUGACGGUACCUAGAUAAGAAGCACCGGCUAACUACGUG
rnacentral:rRNA from 1 species